rnacentral:rRNA from 1 species
UACGGGGGGGGCAAGCGUUGUUCGGAAUUACUGGGCGUAAAGGGCUCGUAGGCGGCCAACUAAGUCGGAUGUGAAAUCCCCAGGCUUAACCUGGGAACUGCAUCCGAUACUGGAUGGCUUGAAUCCGGGAGAGGGAUGCGGAAUUCCAGGUGUAGCGGUGAAAUGCGUAGAUAUCUGGAGGAACACCGGUGGCGAAGGCGGCAUCCUGGACCGGCAUUGACGCUGAGGAGCGAAAGCCAGGGGAG